rnacentral:tRNA from 1 species
GCCGGGGUGGUGGAAUUGGCAGACACGCAAGGUUUAGGUCCUUGUGCCCGCAAGGGUGUGCAGGUUCAACUCCUGUCCCCGGCACCA